rnacentral:snRNA from 1 species
GAAUUUGAGAUGAUUUAACAAU